CUACGGGAGGCAGCAGUAGGGAAUCUUCCACAAUGGACGCAAGUCUGAUGGAGCAACGCCGCGUGAGUGAAGAAGGUUUUCGGAUCGUAAAGCUCUGUUGUUGGUGAAGAAGGACAUGGAUAGUAACUGAUCUAUGUUUGACGGUAAUCAACCAGAAAGUCACGGCUAACUACGUGCCAGCAGCCGCGGUAAUACGUAGGUGGCAAGCGUUGUCCGGAUUUAUUGGGCGUAAAGCGAACGCAGGCGGGAAAACAAGUCAGCUGUGAAAGCCCUCGGCUUAACCGAGGAANGGCAACUGAAACUGUUUUUCUUGAGUGCAGAAGAGGAGAGUGGAACUCCAUGUGUAGCGGUGAAAUGCGUAGAUAUAUGGAAGAACACCAGUGGCGAAGGCGGCUCUCUGGUCUGUAACUGACGCUGAGGUUCGAAAGCAUGGGUAGCGAACAGGAUUAGAUACCCUGGUAGUCCAUGCCGUAAACGAUGANUGCUAAGUGUUGGGAGGUUUCCGCCUCUCAGUGCUGCAGCUAACGCAUUAAGCUCCCCCCGGGGAGUACGACCNCCAGGUUNAAACUCAAAGAAUUUGACGGGGGCCCNCNCNAGCGGUG
rnacentral:rRNA from 1 species